UACGGGGGGGGCAAGCGUUGUUCGGAAUUACUGGGCGUAAAGGGUGCGCAGGCGGCUCCGCAUGUCAGGCGUGAAAUCCCCGGGCUUAACCUGGGAACUGCAGUCGAGACUGUCUAGCUAGAGUAUGGGAGAGGGAAGUGGAAUUUCAGGUGUAGCGGUGAAAUGCGUAGAUAUCUGAAGGAACAUCAGUGGCGAAAGCGACUUCCUGGACCAAUACUGACGCUCAUGUGCGAAAGCGUGGGGAGCAAACAGG
rnacentral:rRNA from 1 species